rnacentral:rRNA from 1 species
UACAGAGGGGGCAAGCGUUGUCCGGAAUUAUUGGGCGUAAAGGGCGCGUAGGCGGCCUGGCAAGUGGGUGGUGAAAUCCCUCGGCUUAACCGAGGAACUGCCCUCGAAACUGCUUGGCUUGAGUCCGGGAGAGGUGAGUGGAAUUCCCAGUGUAGCGGUGAAAUGCGUAGAUAUUGGGAGGAACACCAGUGGCGAAGGCGGCUCACUGGACCGGUACUGACGCUGAGGCGCGAAAGCGUGGGGAGCAAGCGGG